GGGAAAAACCCCCGCACGCCGGAAGACCAAGGGUUCCUGCGCAACGCUAAUCGGCGCAGGGUGAGUCGGCCCCUAAGGCGAGGCAGAGAUGCGUAGCUGAUGGGAAACAGGUCAAUAUUCCUGUACCGCUCUGUAGUGCGAUGUGGGGACGGAGAAGGUUAGCUCAGCCAACUGUUGGAUAUGUUGGUUCAAGCCUGUAGUCGUGCCUGGUAGGCAAAUCCGCCGGGCUUA
rnacentral:rRNA from 1 species